AGAGGAAGCCGGUGCGAAUCCGGCGCGGUCCCGCCACUGUCACCGGGGAGCGCACCCCAACCGAAGGCCACGGCCCGUGUGUUGACGGGCUGGAAGGCCGGGGUACGCGGCGAUCCGGGAGCCAGGAGACUC
rnacentral:ncRNA from 1 species